UAUGAGCUUCCUCUGUUGUGGUUCCCUCUUUCCCCCAGUGUGGACUGCAGUCCCUGCCCAUGGAGGUGCGCUGCAGACAGAAGCAGCAGCAGAGGCCUGGCUUCCUGAGGAAUUACUGCCAGUUUGAGGAAGAAGGAAAGUCCCACCUACCAUGACCACCCCCCAGCCUGGAGGAAGCUCCAUGCCAGCAGCAUGGACCAGCAUGGGAGCCAGAGUCCUGCUAAUGCUGCAGCUCAUCACCCUCACUCAGAAGCCCAGCAGCCAUUGCCACAUCCUAUUUCCAGGGCCUGCUGCCCCCGUGCCCCCACGUGCCCAUCGACCCACACACCUCUCCUCCUGUUUGCCCAAAGUAGGCAUGGAGGGAAUUUUUCAAGUCCACUUUUAGUAGGACAUGCUGAAGCACACACCUGUGGACCACCCAGACUGCCUGCUGCUACAGGAUGCCCUCCGCAUCCCCCAGGACUUCUGUCUGGCAUCAGUGAGGACAUUGAUCCCGCUGGACUGUAGUCACAAUGGACUCCCAAGGGGCAGGUGUCACUUGGGGAGCAGAAUCCAGAGAAUAGCCCCUGGACUGAAGUGUGGACAGCUGUGAGGACUCCUGCUAAAGACACAGACAUGAUACCAGUCUGCUGGCACACAGUGUUUCGUGUCUUGUAUCCUUCUACAUGAUACCAAUGGCCCUAUUGGCUUCAUAGGGACUAUUUUAGUCAUGUCAAGAUCGUGCCACACACUCCAGCCUGGGUGAUAGAGCAAGACUCCCUCUCAAAAAAAAAAAAAAAA